AAAAUGUUCCAGAGAAGGAUGUGAUAAAAAUCAAAAUGCUGAAUGACACUGGAGAAGAGAAUAGUGGCCCUUUGCCCUGCUCCCUUUGCUCUGGUUCAUGACAUUUCCUUUACCAGAAAUGUACAUUCCUAAAUUCUGAUGUGCCGUGGCUGAGAUACAAGGUCUUAUUGAAGAAUAGAACCUUCAUUGGAAUCAAUUCCCUGCUACAGGCAUCCUGGCUGGCAGCACUCAAUCUCCUUCCUUGGAGUAAGACCACCUCAGUACCUGGCUUCUGUCUCCAUCCAGCCUGCUUGCUGGCUGUCUCCUUUCCAUCCCUUUUCUGCAUCCUAAAUAUUCCAGAGGCAAAGCCUGUGAGGGUUUCUGUGCCUCGUAUGGAUUAAGUAGGAUGCAAAAUCACCAGCUUUGGAUAACUUUAGGUGAGUGUGGACAAUAUCAGAGCUUCAGAACAAGUGCAAAUAUAAUUGCUUUCUGCUAAAUUUAAGCUAUGGUUUCUUUACACUGCCCUGUAUGGUGCCUCCCAUAAAGUUCUGACUUCCAGCUGGGGGAGAAAUGCAGUGCUGGCUGCCUGCAGGGUACGUGGAGUGAGAGAGAGAGAGACUACAGCCCUAAAGGACUGCAGACAAGAGGCCUGAAUUUUACUGACACACUUUGUAGAGGGAUGGAUGAAGCCCUCUAAGCUGUAGAUGACUGUGGUCUACAGAGUUGCCUUAAUUGACUGUGGUCCCUGAGAAAGCGGCAAAGCCACUUUCACAGCACAAGAAUUGCAGCUGUCUUACCUUCAGAUCUUCAGGAUUGUCAUGCCACGUACGGAAGGCAUGGUUAGUCAGUAUUCACUUAUAACAUUAUUUCUGCUUAGUCCUCCUGUCAAAUGAUCCCGAUGCUUGUCUUCUACUGAAUGAAUGAAGAUGAGUUUGAUGACCGUGAAGAAAUCCAUCAUAAACUUCACUCUUCAAAACCAAAAUACACUGUUUAACAGAGAAUGUGUUUCCUCCUACAUUUCAUAAUCCAUUCUCUGUCUCAUUAACAAAUCAAUGUCAUCUUAGCACAGUUGCAGUUAGCUUGGCAUUUGUACUGUAGGUGAAUAUUAACUCUGAAAAUCCAAAGACAUGACUCAAGAAGUUCAAGACACAAGAAAUGUGACUGGGUAAAUGGCAGUGCUUAUCAACUUUAAGAAGUGCUAUAACCACUGAAGAAACUUGUGAGAUUAACACAUCCUGUCUCUUGUACAUACUGAGUUAACUAAUUGAAUUACAAGUAGGUUGUAUCUAUGUGCUCUUUUACAUAAUCUUUCACAAAGCCUUGGAGUGUGCUGGUGAAGAUGCUAAGUGAAUGGAUCAGAGAAGUAAGAGUCAGGAUGGAAGCACCUUGCAGCAGGGAGGG
rnacentral:lncRNA from 1 species